UGGGGAAUUUUCGACAAUGGGGGAAACCCUGAUCGAGCCAUCCCGCGUGUGGGACGAAGGCCUUCGGGUUGUAAACCACUUUUCUCAACGAAGAAAAGUCUUAGGAUAAUACCCUAAGACGCUGACGGUAGUUGAGGAAUAAGCACCGGCUAACUAUGUGCCAGCAGCCGCGGUAAUACAUAGGGUGCAAGCGUUAAUCGGAAUUACUGGGCGUAAAGGGUGCGCAGGCGGCUUGGAAAGAACGGUGUGAAAUCCCGGGGCUCAACCUCGGAACUGCACUAUUAACUACCAGGCUAGAGUAUGUCAGAGGGGGGUGGAAUUCCGCGUGUAGCAGUGAAAUGCGUAGAUAUGCGGAGGAACACCAAUGGCGAAGGCAGCCCCCUGGGAUAGUACUGACGCUCAGGCACGAAAGCGUGGGUAGCAAACAGG
rnacentral:rRNA from 2 species